CAUGCAAGUCGAGCGGCAGCGCGGGGCAACCUGGCGGCGAGCGGCGAACGGGUGAGUAAUACAUCGGAACGUGCCCAGACGUGGGGGAUAGCCCGGCGAAAGCCGGAUUAAUACCGCAUGAGAUCUGAGGAUGAAAGCAGGGGACCUUCGGGCCUUGCGCGUUUGGAGCGGCCGAUGGCAGAUUAGGUAGUUGGUGAGGUAAAGGCUUACCAAGCCUGCGAUCUGUAGCUGGUCUGAGAGGAUGAUCAGCCACACUGGGACUGAGACACGGCCCAGACUCCUACGGGAGGCAGCAGUGGGGAAUUUUGGACAAUGGGCGCAAGCCUGAUCCAGCCAUUCCGCGUGCAGGAUGAAGGCCCUCGGGUUGUAAACUGCUUUUGUACAGAACGAAAAGGGCCUGGCUAAUAUCUAGGUCUCAUGACGGUACUGUAAGAAUAAGCACCGGCUAACUACGUGCCAGCAGCCGCGGUAAUACGUAGGGUGCGAGCGUUAAUCGGAAUUACUGGGCGUAAAGCGUGCGCAGGCGGUUUCGUAAGACCGAUGUGAAAUCCCCGGGCUCAACCUGGGAACUGCAUUGGUGACUGCGAAACUGGAGUGCGGCAGAGGGAGAUGGAAUUCCGCGUGUAGCAGUGAAAUGCGUAGAUAUGCGGAGGAACGCCGAUGGCGAAGGCAGCCUCCUGGGCCUGCACUGACGCUCAUGCACGAAAGCGUGGGG
rnacentral:rRNA from 1 species